UGAAGCAUGAAUGAUCCGACUAUGUAUCUGUAUUGACAUGCAUAAUGUAUUAAAUAUCUCGUUAGGCUUUUUAUCUCUGAAGAGUAUCUGUUCCCCUAACCCCAUUCAGGGUAUCUGUUUCUCCUUUCCCCAUCUGGUUUAGAAAGAUGUAAGAAGACCACUCCCUGUGAAUGACGAUGUACCCUCUAACGAGAGUAGUGACAUGAAUAUCUGUUAAGGGUCACCCCUGUCUAAGUACUAUCGUGACU
rnacentral:lncRNA from 1 species